rnacentral:rRNA from 1 species
CGUUGAAAAGCUCGGGGAUGACUUGUGGGUAGCGGUGAAAUUCCAAUCGAGCCCGGAGAUAGCUGGUUCUCCCCGAAAUAGCUUUAGGGCUAGCCUCAAGGGGAGAGAUACGGAGGUAGAGCACUGAAUGUCCUAGGGGGUAUUGCACCUACCGAAGACUAUCAAACUCCGAAUGCCGUCAUCUUAUACUUGGGAGUCAGACUG